rnacentral:rRNA from 1 species
UACAGAGGAUGCAAGCGUUAUCCGGAAUGAUUGGGCGUAAAGCGUCUGUAGGUGGCUUUUUAAGGCUGCCGUCAAAUCCCAGGGCUUAACCCUGGACAGGCGGUGGAAACUACCAAGCUGGAGUACGGUAGGGGCAGGGGGAAUUUCCGGUGGAGCGGUGAAAUGCGUAGAGAUCGGAAAGAACACCAACGGCGAAAGCACUCUGCUGGGCCGACACUGACACUGAGAGACGAAAGCUAGGGGAGCGAAUGGG